rnacentral:rRNA from 1 species
GUUUGGACGAGGGGCCCCUCUCGGGUUACCGAAUUCAGACAAACUCCGAAUGCCAAUUAAUUUAACUUGGGAGUCAGAACAUGGGUGAUAAGGUCCGUGUUCGAAAGGGAAACAGCCCAGACCACCAGCUAAGGUCCCAAAAUAUAUGUUAAGUGGAAAAGGAUGUGGCGUUGCCCAGACAACUAGGAUGUUGGCUUAGAAGCAGCCAUCAUUUAAAGAGUGCGUAAUAGCUCACUAGUCGAGUGACACUGCGCCGAAAAUGUACCGGGGCUAAACAUAUUACCGAAGCUGUGGAUUGUCCUUUGGACAAUGGUAGGAGAGCGUUCUAAGGGCGUUGAAGCAUGAUCGCAAGGACAUGUGGAGCGCUUAGAAGUGAGAAUGCCGGUGUGAGUAGCGAAAGACGGGUGAGAAUCCCGUCCACCGAUUGACUAAGGUUUCCAGAGGAAGGCUCGUCCGCUCUGGGUUAGUCGGGUCCUAAGCUGAGGCCGACAGGCGUAGGCGAUGGAUAACAGGUUGAUAUUCCUGUACCACCUAGUAUCGUUUUAAUCGAUGGGGGGACGCAGUAGGAUAGGCGAAGCGUGCUGUUGGAGUGCACGUCCAAGCAGUAAGGCUGAGUGUUAGGCAAAUCCGGCACUCGUAAGGCUGAGCUGUGAUGGGGAGAGGAAAUUGUUUCCUCGAGUCGUUGAUUUCACACUGCCGAGAAAAGCCUCUAGAUAGAUAACAGGUGCCCGUACCGCAAACCGACACAGGUAGUCAAGAUGAGAAUUCUAAGGUGAGCGAGCGAACUCUCGUUAAGGAACUCGGCAAAAUGACCCCGUAACUUCGGGAGAAGGGGUGCUCUUUAGGGUUCACGCCCAGAAGAGCCGCAGUGAAUAGGCCCAAGCGACUGUUUAUCAAAAACACAGGUCUCUGCUAAACCGUAAGGUGAUGUAUAGGGGCUGACGCCUGCCCGGUGCUGGAAGGUUAAGAGGAGUGGUUAGCUUCUGCGAAGCUACGAAUCGAAGCCCCAGUAAACGGCGGCCGUAACUAUAACGGUCCUAAGGUAGCGAAAUUCCUUGUCGGGUAAGUUCCGACCCGCACGAAAGGCGUAACGAUUUGGGCACUGUCUCAACGAGAGACUCGGUGAAAUCAUAGUACCUGUGAAG